GAUCAUUACUGUGAUUUUAACAUCUUUACACUGCGUGAGCGCACAACAACACCUAAACAUGAAUACUUACUAGUCACUAAGAAAUCUAAAAGAAAUAAAACUUUCAACAACGGAUCUCUUGGUUCUCGCAUCGAUGAAGAGCGCAGCGAAAUGCGAUACCUAGUGUGAAUUGCAGCCAUCGUGAAUCAUCGAGUUCUUGAACGCACAUUGCGCCCUCCGGCAUUCCGGGGGGCAUGCCUGUUUGAGCGUCGUUUCCUUCUUGCGCAAGCAGAGUUGGGGUUGUCACC
rnacentral:misc_RNA from 1 species